UACAGAGGGUGCUAACGUUGUUCGGAAUCACUGGGCUUAAAGCGCACGUAGGCGGCUAGGCAAGUGCGAUGUGAAAGCCCCCGGCCCAACCGGGGAACUGCAUCGUAGACUGCCUGGCUUGAGAGCGGUAGGGGAGACUAGAACUCCUGGUGGAGCGGUGAAAUGCGUAGAUAUCAGGAGGAAUACCGGUGGCGAAGGCGAGUCUCUGGUCCGCUUCUGACGCUCAGGUGCGAAAGCUAGGGGAGCAAACGGG
rnacentral:rRNA from 1 species